UUUGCCAGCUAGGGGUGCCUAUUCAGGCUGAGAUGGCGUUUUACGCCUGACCCUUUGAACCUGACGCGGGUAAUCCUGCCGUAGGGAAGCAUCAAUAGAUUCUA
rnacentral:ncRNA from 1 species